rnacentral:rRNA from 1 species
GGGGAAUCUUGCGCAAUGGGCGAAAGCCUGACGCAGCGACGCCGCGUGGGUGAUGAAGGCCUUCGGGUUGUAAAGCCCUGUGGGGAGGGAAGAAUAAGUCGUGGCUAAUAUCCACGAUGAUGACGGUACCUCCUUAGCAAGCACCGGCUAACUCUGUGCCAGCAGCCGCGGUAAGACAGAGGGUGCAAACGUUGUUCGGAAUUACUGGGCGUAAAGCGCGUGUAGGCGGCUUGGUAAGUCAGGUGUGAAAGCCCUCGGCUCAACCGGGGAAGUGCACUUGAAACUGCCGAGCUGGAGUCCCGGAGAGGAUGGUGGAAUUCUCGGUGUAGAGGUGAAAUUCGUAGAUAUCGAGAGGAACACCGGUGGCGAAGGCGGCCAUCUGGACGGUGACUGACGCUGAGACGCGAAAGCGUGGGGAGCAAAC